rnacentral:rRNA from 1 species
GACGAACGCUGGCGGCGUGCUUAACACAUGCAAGUCGAACGGGAAGGCCCUGCCUUGGUGGGGUGCUCGAGUUACGAACGGGUAAGUAACACGUGAGUAACCUGCCCCUGACUUUGGGAUAACUUCAGGAAACUGGGGCUAAUCCCGGAUAGGAGCUCCUGCUGCUUGGUGGGGGUUGGAAAGUUUCGGCGGUUGGGGAUGGACUCGCGGCUUAUCAGGUUGUUGGUGGGGUAGUGGCUUACCAAGGCCUUGAAGGGUGGCCGGCCUGCGAGGGUGACCGGCCCCAUUAGGACUGAGAUACGGCACAGACUCCUACGGGAGGCAGCGGUGGAGAGUAUUGCACUAUGGGCGGAAGCAUGAUGCAGCCACGCCGCGUGCGGGAUGACGGCCUGCGGGUUGUAAACCGAUGUCGCCUGUGCCGAAGUGUUAGUGACGGUAAUGGGUAAAGAAGCACCGGCUAACUCCGUG